AAUCCGUCGACUUUAAAAAUCGUGAGGGUUCAAGUCCCUUUUCCCCAG
rnacentral:tRNA from 1 species